AAAAGUCCAAGUGUAGCAUGCAUGAAUUCCUUCCAGAGUUGGACAGGCUUGCUUCAACAAUUUGUGAUGUUUAAAAGCCAUUAAAUUACUUAGCCAUCUGCUGUUAAUAAUGGGAAACUUCUGAUAGAGCUGAAGGUCUGAACAAUGGGAAUGAAUUGUUGAUUGUCCUUAAAGUGCAGUAGGCUUUGUUGUAAUCAUGAAACUGCAGUCUAUAAAUAUUUUAAGUAUCUUAAAAGUGUAUUUCUAACUCUCCCUUCUGUGGGCUUCUGAAUGCAGCACUCGUGUAAAUGAAAUGCAAUGUGAGAGGAUCUGAUUUAAUCCCUACUGGCUUCAAUGUGCCUACUGAGUUUGGAGGCUAGAAGCAACGCUAGAAAUUAUGUUAACAGGAGUGGCACGUAGCUGACCUGCAUGGUAUUCACCAAUAGGCAGGAGCACAUUCUCCCCCAAGUUAAUAAUUUCUUAUCCCUUGGAUGACUCUGUAAAUACAUGUGCAGUACAGCUGGAGCUACAGAAGUACUAAAACAGGAAAAAAUUAGAAAUGUUCUUCUACCAUAUUUUUCUCUGAAUCUGUGCUCCUCGUUGUAGGAGUGAUUUAGAGAUGACCACAUGACAAAGCACGCAGCACAUGAGGAUGCUGAUUUUUUUUUUUGUCUCCUCUCCCCUCCUCACUUCAAUAGGGACCAGCUUUCUCUUUUACAGUGAUGUUGGACAGUUAAUACACGGAAAAAUGCAGUGGAUAUCAGACACAAGAUCAUUCCCACGUCCAGCUGACAGCUUAGUGCCAGAAAUGCAGUGCUACUCAAUAGACUUUGGUGGACUUCUGCAGGCGCUGCUAAACCUGAUGGAGAUGGAGUGCACAGCAGACCGGUGUUGGCAUAGCUAAGUUCUAAGCAAGGAAAUGGACUUCUUGGAAACAGUGCUGAGGUAGUGAUGUCCGGUUUUCCCAGUUCUAACAGCUCCCAAGGUUUGCAGCUACUAGGUUUUCUGUAACGGCUUGUACUUGGAGAAUCUCUUUCAAAAUCGGUGAGCAGGGUGCUCUUGUGCUGGACUAUGAGGAGUAACUUUCUACGAGUUUUGGAACUGUGCUGAUAUGGCACUUGGCAAGCUUUACCUGGGAGCAUCUCGUGCAGAGAACAUGAAGAGCAUAUCAGAGGUUAGAGGAUAAAGAAAAGCAGAAAUAUUUGCUCUUCUCCAGAUGCCUGUGACUCACAUGCUGAUGAGUGCCUGUUCUGCUUUAGCCUCCAAUGCAUCUUUUGAGGCCUGAUGUUCCAGGGAAGUCCUUGUGCUGCAUAUAUUUGAGAUCAAAGCCAGGACCUAUCAAAUGUGAACAGGUUUGAUGACUAGAAAGACAAGAAAGCUGCUCCCGCACUUUGCUGUUCUGGUUCUGUACUUGCAGGAGGGGAAAAAAAGGAAAAGGAUGAGAAAGCAAGACUUGACUACAUGCAAUAGCAGAUAUGGCUGGAUGUAGAAGCAGAUCUGCAGAAAGCACUACACUUCAUGGAGGAUGGGACAGGAGAAUAGCCAAAGGAAGUCGAUGAGGAUGGCUGUACUGGUGAGGAACUAAGGAGCUGACAUUACUUCAUCUGAAGAGAAAAGAAGACAAAGCACUCCUUGUAUGGUUAAAAAAAAAAAGAGGCAGAAGCAUCAAAUGAAGGACUGUUUGAAUUGGAAAACUAAUGAGUAUUUCAGGUUAUUCAAAUCCACACUUACUCUAACACUGGAAGCCGUUCCAGCAGCAGCAGCACCUUGAGGAGGACAUCAGGAGGAGCCAGGAGCAGCUGGAGGAUGCCAAAUGAUGAAGAGCAUCACCCCCUUACACCUUUACAGAAAAGAAGAGCUAUGACCCAAAGAAAGAACACCUUCAGACACAAACACAGCAGAGGCCCAAGCCUCCCAAGCCUUCUGACUCCGAUACCACCGCGAUCACUGAGCUUUCCAAAGGCUUCACAUUCCUUGACACCUUUCAUGUGCCAUUCACUCCCAAAAGAGGUGAAACUAAUCCUCUGUGACUCUUGCCAGACCAAAAUUGCACAAACACUUGCUCAAAUUAAGGCCAGUUUCUCAUUAACGGGUCUAUCAAUUAACUCUUUUCAUUACCUGUGCCAGCAGCAUGAAUUAUGAAAAGAAGGCAUGAGAAGAAAUGGGGAUAAGGGCUUACAGUGCUCAAACAUAAGAUUGAAGUCUGCCAAACAUGAUGUCCACCAAAUUUUUACUGCUAAAAAGUUGAGGUCACCCAAUGAGAAAUACAGAGACAGUAAGAUGAUCAAAAUACCUCAGGAGAAGAAUGAAUGAACAAUUUGAAAAAAAGAGAGAAAAGCACUGUGCACUCCAACAACAGCAUCUUAAGUGCAAAACAUCAUUGUACAGAACUUUAUUACGAAGUGAUAAAUCAGCACGCUGAGGCUUCAUUAACUUCAGUGGAACCAGACUGAUUUAUGCCAGCUGAGUCAAUGGCUGCGUUUAUAUGUCUGCAUACGUCAAAAUUAAUCAUGUUUGGAAAAAUAGAAGAUUCUAGGAAUAUAUCCCAGAGGAGAAGAUAUAUAUACUUAUUUAUAAAUUCUACUAAUAAGGUAAUAUACACAGGACUGAAAUGGGGAGAGACCAAACAUGAAACGUGGGUAUAUAGGCUCCUUCAUUACAAAACAUAGGAAACUUGUCUUUGGUGGAGAGAAGACUGGAAAAAACAUUUCACUUUCUUCUGUGUUUUUUCUUCUUAGGUGAUACUUAGCAGGCCUUUCUACAGGACUCUGAAUGACACAGCUGUCCUCCUCCAGAGUUGAACUUCUGCCCUCCUGCAUGGCAAGAAACAGAUAUGCACGUCCUCUGUCAGCACUCUCCAUCUCCAGCAUUCAGACUCCUGCAACCUUCCCACUGGUCCACAUCCUCACGCAGUCUUCCCAGUAAGGGGAAGAGAGCUGUAGAGAAUAGAAUAACCAUGGUUACUCCUACAUCGUCAGAAUUGGAAAGUAAUGUUAUCCAUGGGCUGAAGGAAGCUCAACCCUGCAGUCCAUUCUUCAAGCUCCUUCCCUACAAAUGCAGUGGGAGAGAUGUCAUUUGGGUGCCAAUGAGUUGUGUGCAUCAUAAAGGUGAUCACAUACCAAUUUCUUUUGGGAUCCACUCUAAAGAAAUGAAAGCUCAUUUUUUUCAGUUCAGAGCAUUUGCCAGUAGAUGGUGUGAGGAAUUUCUCCAAUCGCAGUGACACCAAAUGGUGCUGACAUCUGAAAAAAAAGCAGUGUUUUAUGACAGUAGCAAGAAUUACUUCUCCUUGUGAAUCUAUAUUCUGUCAUAGAGUUUACAAUUGCGCUUGCUGAAAUGCUGUCAUUUUCAUUUAAACUAAAGGUCCUCUGCAGCAGGCAGCUCCACAAAGGGUCUCACCUCGUCAACAGCCAUUUCUUAGGAGUGUGAGAUUAGCAGAGCGGCAGCUGAAACAAAAGCUACCUGUUAAACACACUGAGGGUCAGCUACAGGAGGAUGAUGCUAGAUGCUUCAAAAACAAGGCCUCAAGGUACACAGAAUAGAUGCAGAUUAUUAUUAAGAGUGACUGCAGCCCCGGUUUUCCUAAACCUCAGCUCUAGUGUCUAAAUCUGUCUUCCCAUUCCCCUUGUAAGAUAGCCAGAGCUGCUGGACUCUCCAACUAUUCAGAAGACUUUCAAACAUUACCUCUUCAUGAACACCUGAAAAUGCAAUACCUACAGGUAGCAGGCUUGGUUUUUCAGGUUGUGCAGCAUUUGGGAACUCUCUCUUGUUUCUGGGAUUACUAGUAGUUCAGAACUAAAUCAAGCUUCUGAUUUAAGUUUCUGAUGGUUAGGGUGAACGUGAAUGACUUCACACAACUUUAAUGGAAGAUAAACAGCAAAAUGACCCAGUUUGACACAAGAAAUGAAUUGAAGUUUAAAAUGACUCAGUUUCCAAAAGUUUUAUCGUGGAAUUUCUCUUUGUUACUGUUCCUGUAUUUGAGAGAAAUGUGGCACACAUAGAAGACUAGCAGCUAUUUUGGUCAGCAGUGAUUGAAAAAAAACCCAUCUACUUUCACAGUUUUAUUAGAAAUGGUAUCCUGAGAGACUGGAUUUGUAUUCUAUGUUUUUUUUUAGGCAAGGCUGCACUAUAUCUGCAGUUUUGCUGGCAGAAUUUGCAUCAUUAAUUUAUGCAAACCAAAGGCAGUGAGGAAUCCAGAAACCAUUUUAAAAUGUGUGUAAGUCAGACAUUUAGAACUGAAACAUCCACACUCUUCCUAUAGCCUAUUGCUGCGUGACUUCUUUUCAGUUCCUUCUGGAGUGUGCCAGUAAUCUUUUCUUCUCUUUGGUAAGCCAGAGUAACCCAGUAUAUGAAAAAGUGCUUUGAAACAUCUGCUCUGAAUUUGUUUUUUAAUUAAUUAACAAGUAAAUGCUUUUCUGGUUGUGGUGAAUUAUGGCAACUUGUGUUAAAAUCAUUUACCGUGUUAAAAAAUGUAAAGACUUCGAUUAUAGCAUGAUCUUUCUCCUCAGAUAAUUUUAAGAUGAUGUAGUUUCAACCUCUGUAGUUUCUCCUCAUUUUUAUAUGUUUUUAAUAUGAGAUUCCAGUUUAUUAACAGCUGCAUCACUUUACAGUGCUAACAGAUGCUAUUAUACAACCAGGCUAUGAGAACAGACUUCAGCACGCAGGUUUCAAUUUCCUUACCCUUAGUAACAGGGCUGCAGAAACCAAGAUGUACUCCCCUCCUUCUUUCAGUAUCUAAUACUUUAAUACUUGGCACUUAAUCUUUAUUACAGACACCAGUAAAGCAGAUGAGCAAAGUUAUUGUAAAGUCUUUUCAUACAGGAUUUAUCUUCUCUCCUUCACGUCUGCAGUCUGUCAUACAUCAAUUUGUGGUCAUAAGGUACAAAAUAACAGUUUUUUACUGAAAGAAAAUAAAAUUCUUGGCUUGGUUCAGAGCAGGGUUCCAGGAUAGCUCGUUGGGUAGUAGGCUACAGGCAUUCUGCCUCUGACAGGGCUUUGCUUUGCCUUCUCGGCAUAUUCAGAGAGGUGCUAUGUGGCAGGGAAGUGUUCAGAAUGAGGGACUGGGCCUCUACCACCUGCGGUGACGUUGGGCCACUUGGGACAAAGGACUGAUCAGCAAGCACAGCAUCCAGUUCUCUUACCUGGCAGCCAAGCCCAGGGAGCACCAGCUCCAUUUGUGCUGCUGAAUGCAUUUAGCUAUUCAUUAAUUUUUCGAUUACUACAGAUGAGCACACGAGCUCUUCUUCCUCCUCAUUCCUUCACCCUCCUUGUCCCAGAAUGGCUUUUAGCUGCAAUGCCUGGAACUCAGACAAGCAGUGUCGCAUCUUUUCUUGCAGGAGAAGAGAACAAAGAUUUAUAGUGUGAGCUAUGAAAUGAUGAACGAGGGGGAAGUGAUUCCUCCUCCUGCUAUCUGGGGAAAUCUAAUCUUGCAUUUUAGACUUGGAGAGCAGUCAGUUUUUUCCAGAUCAAAUAAAAUAUUUUGUGUAGGAAUGACCUUUUUGUUUAAGCAAGGAAAAUGGAAGAAAUAUAUUUGUUUCAGACUGAACUGAUUUAGAUUUUGGUUCAUUUUUUGAUAUAACAUCGUGGUAUUGAGGAUAAAAUAUUGAGCAGUGCCGUGAAGAAGGUUAUGCUGUAGUUACCAUUCAUGGCCAAUAUACUUAAGCUGGUAACAAAUGCUAUGCAAAAUGAUAUAGUAGGAACUCAUUACUAUGCUUGUAAAAUAAUUUAUGUUUCUCCUUUUUUGCUGACUACUGCCUUCUCUCACACAAAAUCACAGAAUCACAAAAUAUCCCAAGCUGGAAGGGACCCAGAAGAAUCACUGAGUCCAACUCUGGCUCCACACAGGACCACCCAAACCCUAUGUCUCAGAGCAGUGCCCAAACGCGCCCUGAGCUCCAGGAGCCUGUUCCAUGCCCACUGCCCUCUGGUGCAGAGCCGUUACCCCAAACCAACCUGACCCUCCGCUGAGGCGGCUCCAUGCCAUUCCCUCAGGUCCUGUCACCAUUACCGGAGAGCAGAGCUCCGUGCUGCCCCUCUGCUCGCAGUGAGGAGCUGUGGGAUGCCAUGAGAGAGCUUUUCUCUGGGCUGAACAAACCAAGGGACCUCAGCUGCUCCCCUCCACCCCUUGCCCUCCUCAGCAGCACGAGUUAUGAAAAGGAGGCAUGGAUUACAUCUUACAGCCAACACUGCUGCACCAGACCUGAUAGAAAAUUGUUCAUAGUUCAGCGAGAAGCCGUUUAAAAGUCAGUCCUGGCUCCCCAGAUGCUAUAAACAUCCAUUUUGAUCAGUUAGAAAACCUGGUUGCUUUUAGUAAAAGCACAAGCAGGGAUGAUUUUGUUUUGAUUGUUUAACGCUGUUGAUGUUGCAAAUAGGUAUGUCAGCAUUUGAAAGAUGGUCCUAAGG
rnacentral:lncRNA from 1 species